rnacentral:rRNA from 1 species
UACGUAGGGGGCAAGCGUUGUCCGGAUUUAUUGGGCGUAAAGAGCGUGUAGGCGGUUUGGUAGGUCCGCUGUGAAAACUCGAGGCUCAACCUCGAGACGCCGGUGGAAACCAUCAGACUAGAGUCCGGAAGAGGAGAGUGGAAUUCCCGGUGUAGCGGUGAAAUGCGUAGAGAUCGGGAGGAAUACCGGUGGCGAAAGCGACUCUCUGGACGGCAACUGACGCUGAGGCACGAAAGCGUGGGGAGCAAACAAG